rnacentral:rRNA from 1 species
UACAGAGGGGGCAAGCGUUAUUCGGAAUUAUUGGGCGUAAAGGGCGCGUAGGCGGCUAUUCAAGUGGCGGGUGAAAUCCCUCGGCUUAACCGAGGAACUGCCUGCCAGACUGGAUGGCUUGGAUUUGGGAGAGGGAUGCGGAAUUCCAGGUGUAGCGGUGAAAUGCGUAGAUAUCUGGAGGAACACCGGUGGCGAAGGCGGCAUCCUGGACCAAUAUUGACGCUGAGGAGCGAAAGCCAGGGGAGCAAACGGG